GCGAGAGCGACUGGCUGUCGCUGGUCGCGAUUCAUAGUGAUUCGUGGUUGAUGUCUGUUGCUUUUUACUUUGGGGCGCGGUUUGGGUUCGACAGGGAUGCUAGGAGGCGGCUGUUUACUAUGAUCAACAACCUUCCCACUAUAUUCGAGGUUGUAAAUGGAGCUGCUGCCAAGAAGCAGUCUAAAGAGAAGACCCCAAACAGCAGUAGCAAAUCCAGUAAAUCAAACACUAAGCUGGCGGUGGAACCCCAAACAAAGAGCUCAGGAAUGCUGCGCCCGAAGGAGGAAAGCGAGAAUGAAAAUGGAGAUGAAGAGUCUGGGGAAGAAGAUGGUGAGGAGCAUGGGACAACGCCGUGUGGUGCAUGCGGGGGCAGCGAUGGAAUUGAUGAGUUCUGGAUAUGCUGCGACGUUUGUGAAAGGUGGUUCCAUGGUAAAUGUGUGAAGAUCACCCCGGCCAGGGCAGAGCACAUCAAGCAGUACAAAUGCCCUUCAUGC
rnacentral:misc_RNA from 1 species